rnacentral:rRNA from 1 species
GACAGAGGUUGCAAGCGUUGUUCGGAAUUACUGGGCAUAAAGCGCACGUAGGCAGUCCGCUAAGUCAUGUGUGAAAUCCCCCGGCUCAACCGGGGAAUGGCGCCUGAUACUGGCGGACUCGAGAUCGGUAGGGGUGAGUGGAACUCCAGGUGGAGCGGUGAAAUGCGUAGAUAUCUGGAGGAACACCGGUGGCGAAAGCGACUCACUGGACCGACACUGACGCUGAGGUGCGAAAGCUAGGGUAGCAAACGGG